UAAAUAAUAGUCUUUCCUUUUGCCCCGGCUUCUUCCUCUAUUCGUUUGAUAAUCUAGAUCUACUCUCUUCAUCUUCUUCUUUCCCUUUUUAUUUUACCAUUUUUUCCUUCUAAUUCUACAGAUCUUAUCCCACUUUUCGAUCUGAUUUUGUUUACAGAUCCACUCGUUCCUCAUCUUUUUGCUUUUGUUGGUUUACAAUUCCUUUUGUUAUUUACAGAUCCAUUCUGAUUUUUUAACACGGUUUGUGCUGAGUUAUGCCAUCCCAAAGAUGCAAUUUUUAUUGCAAUUCUCAUUCAAGGGUCACCAUUUUGUUGUCCUUCCUCUGCAAUCUGCUGUGCUCCUACCUGUGGUUCUUCAGCUGCUAGUUGAUUUGCCAUAUCUUGGAGUUGGUUUGUUAUUGGUUCAAUUGCUGAGCUAUCGCUGCAAAAGACAGACAUCAAAGUGUGAGCCCACUGUUGGAAAAUCACAGCUGUUUGCUCUAUUAUGUUAUCCCUUUCCCUUAUCAGCCUCGCACAGCCUCCCAUGCGAUCUUCUCUUAGAACGUUUGCCUCGUAGGCACGAUUAUUCAGAAGCUGCCUUUUUUCUUCAAUCCCUUCGUACAUUUUAAGCCACGUAAUCACUGUUUUUCUUCCCCCAUGUGUACGAGUAACUCUUCCAAAUGUUUCGUAUUGUUCAUUCGGGAUAAGGUGUCGGAAUUGACAAUCGGCUUCACACACUGAAAUCUUCCCGGACCUGCAUGCCCCACAUAUUUGUGCUCCAAAUGGAUUUGGUAAAUUAAAGGCGUCUCCAAUAUGUUGUGCUGCAUCUACAAUCUGUUGUGCAGCAGCUAUAAUCUGUUAUACCAUGUGAUCUGCCCCUAUCUGCUGUGCUUUAGUAGUUAUUUGAUUUGCUAGUUGUUGGAUUUGGUUGGCAAUUUGGUGGAUCUCAUGUGAUGGAUUAUUCCUGCAUAAGUUAGUGCUGGAUUACGGUUCAGUGAAACAAAAGCUUAGAUAUAGCCAUCUAGCCAUGGUCAACACUAAACACACAUGCAAGAAGUUCUAUUGUACAAUAAAGUUCUAUUCUUUUUUGGUUUUUCCCCAAGAAAAUCUGCGGAACCGAAAGAAAACAUAGAUUUGAGAUAAGUUAUCUCUCCGAUCCACAAUAAGUGACCAAUUUAGUUUGGGCACACCCAUUAAGAAAAUAUUAAAUUCUAAACAAAAAUAGUUAGUGUGACUAAACUAUCCUUAGUUAAAUGUUGCAACAUAGUUAAUGUGAGGAGUAAAAGACUUUUUAGGGAUAUAUACGUAAGGGUAAUUUUGGAAUAACAAAUUGAUUUUUUUUUGAUUAUAUAAAUGAACACUUAUUUUAGCCCAAAAUAAAAAAGCAAAUUGGUCACUUAUUGUGGAUCGACAAGAGUAAUAGAGUAAAAAUCAAGUCUUUUAAUAAAGUUCUAUUCUUUUUUGUUUUUUUCCAAGAAAAUGUUGGGAACCGAAAGAAAACAUAGAUUUGAGAUAAGUAAUAGAGUAAAAAUCAAGGCUUUGUAAUUUGUCUUCAUUACCUAAUGCAGAAAUAAAUUCCUGAUUUUAACAAUUACAAGAUUUAAAAUUUACCUCAAUAGUAUGAGUAGUAUGUUAAUUGUAAUACUUUGUUGAGGUAAUCGAUGCUGUUGUUCUUGGA